UGAAAGAGAAGUGUUUUUUUUUUUUUUUUUUUUUACCAGACUCUAGUUCUCUGUGUACAGUUCAAGUCCAUGUUUCAUCCCAUGACUGGGUCACAACCUUCUUGGUGUAAAUCAGAACAAAACAGAUAAUUUUAUCAGUGUAAUUUACCCAGAUCCAUUUCUUGGGCUCCUAGUUUCUUAUAAGAAAUCUUCUCUUAGAAACCUUGGUUUGCCAUUUGACAGAAAUGAUUGCAAACUGUAGUGAAAAAUCACACCUUUUCCAGCUGAGGCUUUUAGCCAAGGCUAGGACCUAUUUUUCUCCUCGAGAUUUCUCUGAUUUCUUAUUUUAUUUUAGUGCUUUAUGUUUCGGGGUGUUUUUCACCUUGUUGAACUGCACUUUGGUCCAGCAAGCAAGGUUUUAAAUGUGCUUCAUAGAUAAUUUGAUGCUGUCAAAGCGUCCUGGGCUUCCUGAACACAUCAGCAGAACCACAGGCUUAUCAUGUCAAUGCAGCACAGCACUGAUACAGGAAGUUGUGCAAACGAAGCCCGAUCAAGCAUUUAGAGCAUUAUGUUGUACAGUACAUGGAGAUAGUUUUCUCUAGACCCACAUAUAUGUACUGUAAACCCCUUUUUAUUGGUCCAGUGGCAUAACUUCUGAAAACUGAAACUGAAUAUUGGGUUUGUAUUUGCUGUAAGUCAUUCCUAUUAUUUGGUAAAUUCAUUGCGAUGCAGUCGGGUUCAAUCAGAUUUCAGCAGGGACUUGUGCAGCAGCCAUGGAUCCUCCCAUGCUGUUCAAAGGCCUGCAAGAAAAAAAGACAGCACUGCAUUUUAUAAAUUAAUGACUUUAAAUAUGCUAAAAUGGAUUUUAAAUAUUUUAAACCUGUGAAAAUGAAGGAAUAUAUUACAUAUUAUUUACCCCCAGAAAAACAGCUUAGUUCAGAUCUUUGAGUAGAUGCCUUCUCUAGAGGAAGCUGCUGUUCAUCUCAGACUGAUAUUAUAUUUUGCUGCAAACAGCAUCAGAGGUUACGGUGAUGAGAUGACCUCUUUCUGCUGCUUCCUGCAGACUCUGGUGGCCAAAAUGUUGGACCUUCUCUGAGCUUCACAGGUUUUCUUUUUUCAUGACUUUUGCAGAAACAAGACGUUCACGGGUUUGGACCUGGAGAUGACUGCGUUAGCAGGAAGCUGUGGUGUUUCUGACACAUUCAUCAGAGGUGUUAUGAACACCCCCCAAUGGGUUAAGUGUCUCUCUGUCAGUACAGCAGCUCAGGAUGGAGGUAACAGUGCUCUGUGCUGUUGUUGCUUGUCUGAGACUCCUUCCCAGCAGAUCCCAGUUCUUCCAGUAUGAGAAUGUUGUUCUGAACUGUGAGGGAAACUCGACUGAGUGGAGAGUCAGAAGAAAGACAUCAAAAAAAAUUUAUGAACUCUGUCCCUCCUAUCCAUCGAAAAGAAAUGACUCUACAUGCGUCUUAAAUGAUCUAUAUGAACAAGACUCAGGAGUUUACUGGUGUGAAUCUGAAGCAGGAGAACGCAGCAAUGAAGUCAACAUCACUGUAACAGAUGGAGAAUUGAUCCUGGAGAGUCCUGAACAUCCAGUUAGUGAAGGGGAAAACCUAACCUUUCACUGCAGAGCCAGGACAUCUUUCUCCAAUCAAACUCAUUUCUAUAAAAACGAGGAGCUCAUCGGGAGCAGCUCUACGGGAAACUUCACCAUCCAAAGUGUUUCUAAAUCUGAUGAAGGCCUCUACAAGUGUAACGUCUCUGGACUCGGAGAAUCGGAAGAAAGAUGGCUGACUGUCAGAGGGUGCAGUCCUCAAAUGCCUACAGCUCCCGUCGCCUACAUUCUACUUCCUGUUGUGGUGUGCAUCUUGUUGUUGUUCGUUCUGAUGUUACUCUGGCUGUUCAGAAACCACAAAGCCGGUGAUGUGAGAACAGCAGCUCUAUCUGGUCUCUAUUUGAUGCACAAAUGCCAAAACAUUUGUUAAUGUGGUGGUGAAAGAAUGAAGUAGAAUGGACCGUUCUGUGUCCUACACUGAUGUCACCAUCUCACAGGAAGGAAAACCUCAAAGGAUCUCUGAUGUGGGUUCUGUCCCGACCUUGUAUUCGGGAGUGAUGCCAGACAGCAGCUGACAACAUGAGAAUCCCCUGUUGCAGUUGAAUUAUGAACUAUAUGAAUUAUAUGUACAUUUUACAUCAAGCCACAGAAAUAUUUCUUCUGAAACAUAAAAAUAAAACAAAGAAUUUUGUAGCUUUGUACAUUUUUGCUUGGUUACUAACUUAAAAAAUGGCUUAUACUAUAACGCUUAGUUUUCUUUGCAGAUGAUGAAUUUAUUUAGUUCUUUUUAUAUGUAAGUUCAGUUGUGUGUUUAUUUUUAGAAACUGGUGGGUUUGUUUUCUUUCUUUCCGGUCUGUUUGUCUGUUUCUGUCAUUUAUUUGGCUAUUUUGUGAUAUUAUUUCACUUAAAUAAAAACAUGAACUACCCCAAUCCUUCUGUUUUUUGCUUGAUUCUCACUUGUUUUGGUGUUUGGGGUUAUUUAUUAUUACUGUUAUGGUCUCUCCAAGUUAGUUCAUUCAUUUGUUUGGAUUUUGUUAGGUUUUUCUUAUGUUUUUAUUUUCAGUACAUGUUGCUUUAGACUGUUAGUCUUUUUCCUUUAUUUCUAGAUCCUUGUGGGUUUUUAUUGAGCUCUUUCUGUUAGUUUUUUGUUGACUGGUCAUCUUCUCCCAGCAUCCUGCUAUGUUUCUUUCCUCUUGUUCCUCAUUCCUUUGAUUAGUCUCAGAUGGUUUAAUGACACUAAUCACUCCUCCACAGCCUCUGAGUUUCCUUGUUUAUUCCUUUUUCUGAAAAUCACCUGUUUUUGCGAUUCCUAAUAAUUUUGGCUAUAAAUGAUUAAUAAUGUUUUAUGAUCAUAUUUUUAUCUUCUUGUUGGUG